UCCAUGUCAGCUCCGACCUUGGCUUUUAUGGAGGAAGGUAUGUUGCAAAUCGAUACAAAAAGGAGACCCCAUUGCACAAUUGGAAUGUGAGAGAAGCUGCUUGAGCAGCAUGUGCAAACAAAGAAACGGUGAAAGAAGGAAGGAAGGACUGAUCCAAUUGCUGUUGCAGGACGGUCAGGCUGUGUGUGGCUUCAGUGCCUCGCAUGUGAAAGACCCUCACUGGCUUGAACCAGCCCCCAUCCCCUGCUUUCUCACUUCUAUCCCCCACUUCACUUGAAAUUAUGCUUUUGAAGCAACUGUUGUUUGCACUACCAUGAU
rnacentral:lncRNA from 1 species